CCUACGGGAGGCAGCAGUGAGGAAUAUUGGUCAAUGGACGAGAGUCUGACCCAGCCAAGUAGCGUGAAGGAUGACUGCCCUAUGGGUUGUAAACUUCUUUUAUAAAGGAAUAAAACGAGGCACGUGUGCCUUUUUGCAUGUACUUUAUGAAUAAGGAUCGGCUAACUCCGUGCCAGCAGCCGCGGUAAUACGGAGGAUCCGAGCGUUAUCCGGAUUUAUUGGGUUUAAAGGGAGCGUAGAUGGGUUGUUAAGUCAGUUGUGAAAGUUUGCGGCUCAACCGUAAAAUUGCAAUUGAUACUGGCAGUCUUGAGUACAGUUGAGGUAGGCGGAAUUCGUGGUGUAGCGGUGAAAUGCUUAGAUAUCACGAAGAACCCCGAUUGCGAAGGCAGCUUACUAAACUGUGACUGACAUUGAUGCUCGAAAGUGUGGGUAUCAAACAGGAUUAGAUACCCGAGUAGUC
rnacentral:rRNA from 1 species